GGGGUUGUGGCUCAGUGGCAGAGCGCUUGCCUAGCAUGUAUGAGGUACUGAGUUUGAUUCUCAGCACUGCA
rnacentral:tRNA from 1 species